rnacentral:rRNA from 1 species
AUUGAACGCUGGCGGCAUGCCUUACACAUGCAAGUCGAACGGUAACAGGUCUUCGGAUGCUGACGAGUGGCGAACGGGUGAGUAAUACAUCGGAACGUGCCUAGUAGUGGGGGAUAACUACUCGAAGGAGUGGCUAAUACCGCAUGAGAUCUACGGAUGAAAGCAGGGGAUCACAAGACCUUGUGCUACUAGAGCGGCCGAUGGCAGAUUAGGUAGUUGGUGGGAUAAAAGCUUACCAAGCCGACGAUCUGUAGCUGGUCUGAGAGGACGAUCAGCCACACUGGGACUGAGACACGGCCCCGACUCCUACGGGAGGCAGCAGUGGGGAAUUUUGGACAAUGGGCGAAAGCCUGAUCCAGCAAUGCCGCGUGCAGGAUGAAGGCCUUCGGGUUGUAAACUGCUUUUGUACGGAACGAAAAGCCCCGGGUUAAUACCCUGGGGUCAUGACGGUACCGUAAGAAUAAGCACCGGCUAACUACGUGCCAGCAGCCGCCGUAA